AGCCGCCCCGCCUCUCCAAGACCGCCCUGCCCCGUCCGGCCCCGCCCCCUUCCCGGCGGGAAGCUCUGAGCCACUCUGAACUGCGAACCGCGCAGAGUGGCCAGAGGCUAGAACAAAGUCACGAGUCUGACCUAAACUCAAAGGGAGAAGAGUAUGCAAGAGCCAAAGCAUGAGAUGGAAACCAUGGGGCCAUCUUUGAGUCUGUCUGCUGCAGAAAGAUGAACACAAAUCCUUGUGCAGAAAAGUCUGACACUAAAAGAGCCAACCUGACACUACUAUCCUUAGAAAAGCCUGCAUACAAGGUUGGCUGUCAUCUGGGAAUGAAGGUGAUCAAGAGUUCUCUCCACUGACAUAAACUUCCUUUAAAUAAUAAGGAUGACUCAUUGUGACUAGACUAUGCAAAUGGUGUGGUGUGUGUUAAACAUCUACUUUCCUUCUGGGAGUCUGGAAUUUUGGUAUAUGAUAAGCAGUGGGUACCUGCAAGACCAGCCUCAAAUAAAAACCCUGGGCACUGAGUCUCUAAAAAGCCUCCCAGUAGACAAUAUUUCACACGUGUUGUCACAACUCACUGCUGGAGGAAUUAUGCACACCUGUGUGACUCUAUUGGAAAAAGACUCUUGGAAUCUUACACCUGAUUCUUACUGACUUCUCCCCAUAAUCCUUUUUUUCCUUGUCGAUUAUGCUUUGUAUUCUUUCCGUGUAAUAAACCUUGGCCAUGAAUCUUGUGAAUUCUUCUAAUGGUCAUUGAACUGGGCGCUGGUCUUGAAGACCCUUGACACAGUUAACCUGUUUGGGAUUCCUACUAGAGUGUCGAUAUGAGUUGAAUUGUGUUUCCCCAAGAAGAUGUGUUUAAGUCCUAGCCCCCAGUAUCUGUGACUGUGACCUUAUUUGGAAAUCGGGUCUUUUCAGAUGUGAUCAACUUAAGAUAGGGUCAUACUGAAUUAAAGUGGUUCUUCAUCUAAUGUGACUGGAAUCCGUAUAAGAUCAGAAGAGAGAGAGAGACAGACACAGAGGGAAGAAGGCCAUAUGAAGAUGGAAGCAAAAGUUGGAGAUAUACUGCCAUAAAUCAAGAAGCACCUGGGGCAUGUAGACGCUGGAAGAGGAAAGAAAGAAUCCCCUGAGCCCUAAAGGCUGCAGAGGGAGCAUGACCCUUUGAAAACCUUGAUUUGGGACUUCUCGUCUCCAGAAUAGUGACAGAAUAAAUUAUA